UAGGCAUCUAGUGGCGGACGGGUGAGUAACGCGUGAGAAUCUGGCUCCAGGUCGGGGAUAACAGUUGGAAACGACUGCUAAUACCGGAUGUGCCGAGAGGUGAAAGAUUUAUUGCCUGGAGAUGAGCUCGCGUCUGAUUAGCUAGUUGGUGGUGUAAGGGACCACCAAGGCGUCGAUCAGUAGCUGGUCUGAGAGGAUGAUCAGCCACACUGGGACUGAGACACGGCCCAGACUCCUACGGGAGGCAGCAGUGGGGAAUUUUCCGCAAUGGGCGAAAGCCUGACGGAGCAAUACCGCGUGAGGGAGGAAGGCUCUUGGGUCGUAAACCUCUUUUCUCAAGGAAGAAGAAAGUGACGGUACUUGAGGAAUAAGCAUCGGCUAACUCCGUGCCAGCAGCCGCGGUAAUACGGAGGAUGCAAGCGUUAUCCGGAAUGAUUGGGCGUAAAGGGUCUGCAGGUGGAACUGAAAGUCUGCUGUUAAAGAGUUUGGCUUAACCAAAUAAAAGCGGUGGAAACUACAGAACUAGAGUGCGGUAGGGGCAAAAGGAAUUCCUGGUGUAGCGGUGAAAUGCGUAGAUAUCAGGAAGAACACCGGUGGCGAAAGCGUUUUGCUAGACCGUAACUGACACUGAGGGACGAAAGCUAGGGGAGCGAAUGGGAUUAGAUACCCCAGUAGUCCUAGCCGUAAACGAUGGAUACUAGGCGUGGCUUGUAUCGACCCGAGCCGUGCCGGAGCUAACGCGUUAAGUAUCCCGCCUGGGGAGUACGCACGCAAGUGUGAAACUCAAAGGAAUUGACGGGGGCCCGCACAAGCGGUGGAGUAUGUGGUUUAAUUCGAUGCAACGCGAAGAACCUUACCAAGACUUGACAUCCUGCGAAUCCUGGUGAAAGCUGGGAGUGCCUUAGGGAGCGCAGAGACAGGUGGUGCAUGGCUGUCGUCAGCUCGUGUCGUGAGAUGUUGGGUUAAGUCCCGCAACGAGCGCAACCCUCGUUUUUAGUUGCCAGCAUUAAGUUGGGCACUCUAGAGAGACUGCCGGUGACAAACCGGAGGAAGGUGAGGAUGACGUCAAGUCAGCAUGCCCCUUACGUCUUGGGCUACACACGUACUACAAUGCUACGGACAGAGGGCAGCGAGCCAGGGAUGGCAAGCGAAUCCAGAAACCGUAGCUCAGUUCAGAUCGAAGGCUGCAACUCGCCUUCGUGAAGGAGGAAUCGCUAGUAAUUGCAGGUCAGCAUACUGCAGUGAAUUCGUUCCCGGGCCUUGUACACACCGCCCGUCACACCAUGGAAGUUGGUCACGCCCGAAGUCAUUACCCCAACCGAAAGGA
rnacentral:rRNA from 1 species